rnacentral:rRNA from 1 species
GACGAACGCUGGCGGCGUGCUUAACACAUGCAAGUCGAACGGGAUUUAGUAAACAGAAACCUCGGUGGAAGAUUACUAAUGAGAGUGGCGAACGGGUGAGUAACGCGUGAGCAACCUGCCUAUGACAGUGGGAUAGCCUCGGGAAACCGGGAUUAAUACCGCAUAAAAUCGUAGAAACACAUGUUUUAACGGUCAAAGAUUUAUCGGUCAUAGAUGGGCUCGCGUCUGAUUAGCUAGUUGGUGAGAUAACAGCCCACCAAGGCGACGAUCAGUAGCCGGUCUGUGAGGAUGAACGGCCACAUUGGAACUGAGACACGGUCCAAACUCCUACGGGAGGCAGCAGUGGGGAAUAUUGCACAAUGGGGGAAACCCUGAUGCAGCGACGCCGCGUGAACGAAGAAGGUAUUCGUAUCGUAAAGUUCUGUCCUAUGGGAAGAUAAUGACAGUACCAUAGAAGAAAGCUCCGGCUAAAUACGUG